ACACAUUUAAGUAUCAACAUUCUUUAUUAUGUGCGAGGAUUCUUGUAUUCAAGUGCCUUCAGACUAAAUUCCUUUUAUUCGUUCCCAUCCAUAACCAAGAUUCAGUAUAAUAAUUCUCAUAGUGUAUGUCAGCAUUAUCAUAUUUAAUUUAUAAACAUCGGGGCAUAAUCAAUUUCAUAUUGCCCUUUUUAUAUGUUUAAAUCACCAUUCCACUUGCGUCUACCACAAGUUAUCUCUUACAUAAUGUCACGACCCGGAACUCCCCAUCAGGCCCGUGACAACAGUCGCGAAGCCUCGACAGACAUUCUUCACCCUAAAUGCCGAUCGAAACCUCGUAAGGCUCUCGUAUCAGCUUUUGCACUUCCCCGGUGAGCAAUAGUUAUCAAAUAUCGUAAUUCGAAGGAUUAUGAGUCAUUUCCAAAUCAGAACAUAACAUAUUGUUUUCUAGUUCACAGGGGCAUUUUCAUCAUUUUUCGUCAAAAAUCUCAAAACUUGAUAAAAA
rnacentral:lncRNA from 1 species